UAACACUAUUGCAUUAUGGGG
rnacentral:piRNA from 1 species